rnacentral:lncRNA from 1 species
AUGGCACAAAGAUCCUGCAGCAGACACUCACCAUCUGUGACAAUCACGUUAAAUUCCCAGGAUGACGCAGGAAGGAAAGUCCUGUCCAGAGCACAGCUGUACCAUCCUGAGUCAGACUGUCUCAGCUGUGUGAUGGUCACAAACAGAAUGACUCCUCUACCAAACUCUCUUGUAUAUUCUAUGCUGUAUCUGUCAUUUGUAGCUGAGUCAUCUUCUGUUCUAACAAGAACGUCUCCUUCAUCACACUGUCCCUUACAGAACAACUUCCAGCUUCCAGAAAGAGUAAAGGAACAUGCAACAGUUAGAUCUCCUCCAGUCCUGGUGUAGAUGGGCCUUCCUGCAGGAUCGUAGUCUCCUUCCAGCAGUGCUGUUGGAAACACAAACAAGAGUUACUAUCUGUAUUUACAGUACUGUAGUCUGACCACAGCAAUGUGAUCCACAGUCACACUGGGAGCUUCCCAGUUCACCCAGUCUGUGACUGCACCAGUUCACAGAAACUCACCAUCAACAACAGUGAUUCCAAACUCCACAUAUGGAGCUGAUGACACCCCACACCUGUACCGUCCUGAGUCAGACUUGAUCAGCUCAGUGAUGCUCACAGAAAAAUGUCCUCCUUCAUAUUUGAUGCUGUAUCUGCCGCUGUGAGCUCUGACAUCAGUAGUUUGGAUGAGAAUGUUCCUGUUACAGGGAUCCUUACAGAACGUCUUCUGGCUUGUCUGAAAAGACUCAGAACAUUUCACUGUGAUUUGUCCUCCUGUAGUUCCUAUAUAGGUGAUGCUUUGUGCUGUGCUUCUGUCCUGCAGAGCUGUGGAGACAGUCAACAACCAGUAGUUAAUACCUGUACUUCACACUGGGAGCUGCCCAGUUCACCCAGUCAGUGACUGCCCUUAUAAAAAAGAGUUUUAUACAAGUUUACUAUGAGUAUACUUCUUUUAAACUUAAAUUAGGAAAAUAUACUGCAGUUUACUUUGUGUGUACUUAUCAGAGACAUACAAAACAAAAUGAUAGUGUACAUUUAUAGUAUACUACACAGCAUACCAGUGUGUGGGUAGACUGGAGAGAUUUCCCAGCAUGCCCCAAGGAUAGAAAGUGUGUAUUUUCAUAUUAUUCAGUUCUGUUCCUUUUGUGGUGUGUGUAUGUGAGACAGCGUAUGUGAUUGUUAUUUCAUUAAUGUUGAACUUAUUUUGACCUGCUUGUCAGAUUAAAAGAGAAGCUGUUCAAACUGUGAAGUUGUCAUAUCUUUCCAUCCAGGCCAGUACCUGAUAUACUGCAGUUACACAUAGUUGCUAUGUCUUAUUGCUGAAGACAUAUACUUCUUUAAACAAAAAAAAAGGGAAGCAUAUAAUUGGUUCCAGUAGGUUCAAUACACAGUACAGUUGAAGUGCAUAGAUAUAAACAAUUUGUGUACUCAUACUUUACUACACUUAUACAUAAUAAAUAAAAAAAUACUUUUAGGUAUGAACAAUUGGCCAAUUUAGUCCCAAGAGGUCUUAAAUGGUACUCUUAGAGUACUGCUACAUUGAUAUUAGUAUACUUAUGACUGAAACUUCAUUUUAGUUUACUCCAUAAAAUAAACUUUAAGUAUAUUUAUUUUUGGUAAGCUUGUCUUCUCCUUUUCUCUGCUCAUACCCCAGUUAGUUUGUCGAAAAUGGAGAGUGUGUGUGUGUGUCACGUCAGUAAACACGUAAAGUUAAGACACAGCACAGCAGCUCAACGACUUUCAUCAUCUUCUCUUUUGCCAAGUUCCCAUUUCUCAGAACAGACAGCACCUCUCAGUCAGACCUGAGCUUUGAGCCUGAAUGGACAAUAAAAUAAGCAUCUAAAAAGAUGACCCUGGACUAUGGUGAGUUUUAACCCCAACUCUGAGACAAAAGAAAAGGUUGGUGAAGUGAUGGUGAGAACAACUAACGGUGAAAUGGAAAAGCAGCAGCUUUUGUGUAGCUCACAGCUGACUGAUCCUCACCUUUAACCCCAUGAACCAAAUAUGAUAAAGACAGAAAAGUCAGAACAGAGUGGACAUACUCACAGAGGAAGAAGAGACCGAUCAAAGUAUGAAGAGGUUUCAUGUUGAGAAUUCUCUCUUUCUUCUUCACUGACAAACCAGGAACUCUUCACUUCUCUAAAUGAUGGAGUCCACUCACAGCUCCAGGCUCCUCCCCCUCUGCACCAGGUUUUAACCCAGAACUGAAACUGCCCAUCAUAAAGUUUCUAAAGAUCGUUUAUUCAUCGUGUUUUAUUGGAGUGUGUUGGGAUCAGGGGCACUGCACUAGACUCAUCAGCAGCCCCACUGAGCUGUGGUGUUCCCAAAGGAUCAGGGGGGACUGGUAAGUGGAGGUGUAUUGACAGGUUAUGACCAAGAGAUGUCUACAUCUACAUCUAGAGGCAUUGCAAUAACCAAAAGAAAUAAGUCAUUCAGUCAUGACUUUAUCAAAUGAGCAACAUCUCAGUAGUCAGGACUUUUCUCUGUUGAUCAGAUCAUGAGAAGCACAUAGCAUUUUAGUUUUGUCUUGGUUCACUUCUUGUCGUUUUAUUUCAGGGUUAAGACAAAAAAUAAUCUCAUGCUUGCUACAGACAUGAUCAUAUCAACUUUCUUAACCCUCUCUUCACUGCAUAUCAGUCGGCUGUAUAAAUACCUUUAAGAGUUAACCGAUUUAAAGCAGUCCAUGGUCUGGACCAUAACUACAGAGACAGAGCUCAGCCUCGUGUCCUCAGGCAGAAAAGUUUCAGCAGACAGGAAUCUGUCAAAUCAACCAGCCUGAACACACAUCUCACCUGUGUCAUAUUCUGUUACAUUGCUGCCACCUGCUGGACCAGUCAGUUAUAGCACUGUGCUGGAAACCUCUAAACCUUUCCUUUGGAACUGAAAAAACAAACCAUUCUUUCUCAGCUCUUUAAGAUCUCUCCCCUCCCUGAUCCACAGACUACCACCUGCAUUCCACUGACACUGCUGUUUCUGACUCCUCACAUUAUCUGGUUUAAUGCUUUCCUACGAUAAUACAUGCAUUGUCAUUAGGUUUGUGUGGCAACCAGUGGUCUGUUGGACUGACCAGUACAUAUUGUGCUAUUUCUAGGCAUCCUCACUUCUGGUUGUCCUCACUUACUGGUCCACUGCGUGAGGUUUUAAGAAGCUAUGUUGGUGCUGGGCUUCUAAAUGGAUAAAACAGUGGAAACAGCAACACAGUCAUAGAGUUUGAUGAAAGUGAAACUGAGGCGUCUCUGACUGAAAAGGAAAUGACAAGUGUUCACAGUCAGAAGUGAAGGACAAACAGCAGUGAGUGAAAAGUUAAACUCAGUAUCAUCUGUUUGUUUAUCACCAAUUCACUGACUAUGAGCUGAUAGAAUGUCUUUCUAUCAGCCUGAUAAACAACUGCCUGGAAUAAUAAGAUCAACUUUAUUCUAAGAAUAUGAGCAGUGAUCAAUAAAACACUGGAAGCCAACUGAACAGAAACAUCUACUGAUUAUAGAUUCACACACAUCAUCAUCUAUCAAUUCUUCCUGCUAUCCAGGGUCACAGGGGGCAGGACCCAAUCCCAGCAUGCAGUGGGUGAGAGGCAGGUCACAUCUACGGGCAAUUUAGAGUCACCAACCAACCUAACCUGCAUGUGUUUGGACUGUGGGAAGAGAAAACACACAGACACAGGGAACACAUGCAGACUCCACACAGAAAGGCCCCGGGUCCACCAGUGUUCAGAUCUGCAACCUGCUGCUGUGACGAGACAGUGUGACACACCACAAUCUUCACAUCAUCACAAUCUUAGCACGUGAAAAACAAAAUCCAUGUCCAAAACAGGAAGUCAAGAAUCCAUCAUGAAACUAAAGACAUAGUAACACACACUGUGUUUUCUGCAGCCAGGUAUGUUCCCAUUGAGCUGCAGUUUCAUGUCUGCUUGAUUUUUCAUGUAAAAGUCAAUAACGCAAAACUGGAAAACUGAACCCACUUUUCUGCUGCUGUAGAAUUUAGACCUGCCCAAUGAGCCCAGUAGCAUUUGGAUAACCAGUGGAUUGCUGGGCUUGGGUUGGGUGUGAGCUAAAUACUGUCUCCAGGUCACAGUUCUGAGCUGGAGCUGAGCUGGAAGGCAAAGGUUACAGUUUAUCAGCUAAGCCAUCCACCUGUGGUCAGGGGCUGUGGGUGGUGAGCCAGAGACUGAGCUGAAAUGAGUUUCCCCUGUCAGGCUUCAGGGCUCAGUCUCAGAGGAUGAGGAGCUCAAACGUCUUUUGAAAAGAGCCAGGUGAGUCAGGUGUCUGAGUAGGAUCCUCCAGGGUAACUUACACUAAAGCUUUUCUGGGCAUGGCCACCUGGUAGGAGACCCUGGGCCAACCCAGAAUAUGCUGCAGAGACUGUCUAUCUAACCUGGCCAGGGGGUGGGUGCCUCAGGCUUCUCCAGGAGGAGCUGGAUAACAAUGAGAGGAACAUCUGAGACAACCUGCUGAACCUACUGCCACUGAUUUCAGAUAAGCAGCAGAAAAAGCAUGAAUAAUUAUAAAUUCACAUUCACAGAUAGAAAGUCAGAUUUUAUUAAAUCGAAUUCAAUUUUUGAUUAUUGAUGAUGGAACUGGAAAAAUCAAUCUGACCAAUAUUACACCGACCACGCUGAGUCUUCCAGGUACAGAACCACAAAGCUUCAUGCGUGCUUUGUCUGUGUGAGAGUGGAGUAGAUCUGGUCCUUGUCCCUGGUAGCUGGGUGGAGGCUCAGGUAGGUGAAAGCUUCGCCUGUGGAGACUGGAGGUUGGUUCUCAUAAUCCAAGCUGUCAAUCUACAAAACAGCCAAACAUUUGACAGAAUAAAAGCACAGCUCAAAACAGUGAGAGACUUUAAAAUUGUUUCCAGGUCAGUAAGCCAACAGGUUUGUACAUGAGAGACAAGACCAACUUUCUCUACUUAGCUGAAAAUACUAGAAACAGAAGAAAGUGCAUUGCAACUGUUUCUGUUCGAGCUGAGCUACAUUUCCAGAUGCAGCGUCUCUCCUUGAACACUGGACACUGAAAUAAGAAUCAGCUCAAACAGUACAGUAAUGAAAGAAUCCUCACUUGAUUGGAUUUAUUUUAGUCAACACCAAUCAGUAAACAACAUGUCAGGAUCUGUCCUGGUACAAAUCCUCAGGACAUGAUCACUAUGUUCACUGUUAAAAACCAGAAUUUCAGCAAC